rnacentral:rRNA from 1 species
GUUUUUUGCGCGAAAAUGACCAGCACUCAACGUAGUGAAAGUGCCAAUCACAUGCUUAAGAGUUAUGUCCCACCCGGGUGCCCAAUGCAUUUGUUCAUUAAACAAUACGAGAAGCUUCAGUUCGAUAGGGACUCUGAGGAGAGUUUCUAGGAGAAACGGACUGCUCUGGUAUGUUCCAGCCUUCAAGAAGAUAGUGUUUUUUUCCAUCCAGUAAAACAAAAUGCAGAUCAUUUUGCCCAAUGCUCACUUGUUUGUGUGUAUGUUUUAAUGUUUUUUAGAGUGGUGUUCUUUUGA